UUAACACAUGCAAGUCGAACGAUGAAGCCCAGCUUGCGUGUGGAUUAGUGGCGAACGGGUGAGUAACACGUGAGUAACCUGCCCUUAACUCUGGGAUAAGCCUGGGAAACUAGGUCUAAUACCGGAUAGGAGCGUCCACCGCAUGGUGGGUGUUGGAAAGAUUUAUCGGUUUUGGAUGGACUCGCGGCCUAUCAGCUUGUUGGUGAGGUAAUGGCUCACCAAGGCGACGACGGGUAGCCGGCCUGAGAGGGUGACCGGCCACACUGGGACUGAGACACGGCCCAGACUCNUACGGGAGGCAGCAGUGGGGAAUAUUGCACAAUGGGCGAAAGCCUGAUGCAGCGACGCCGCGUGAGGGAUGACGGCNUUCGGGUUGUAAACCUCUUUCAGUAGGGAAGAAGCGAAAGUGACGGUACCUGCAGAAGAAGCACCGGCUAACUACGUGCCAGCAGCCGCGGUAAUACGUAGGGUGCGAGCGUUAUCCGGAAUUAUUGGGCGUAAAGAGCUCGUAGGCGGUUUGUCGCGUCUGUCGUGAAAGUCGGGGCUUAACCCCGGAUCUGCGGUGGGUACGGGCAGACUAGAGUGCAGUAGGGGAGACUGGAAUUCCUGGUGUAGCGGUGGAAUGCGCAGAUAUCAGGAGGAACACCGAUGGCGAAGGCAGGUCUCUGGGCUGUAACUGACGCUGAGGAGCGAAAGCAUGGGGAGCGAACAGGAUUAGAUACCCUGGUAGUCCAUGCCGUAAACGUUGGGCACUAGGUGUGGGGACCAUUNNACGGUUUCCGCGCCGCNNNNAACGCAUUAAGUGCCCGCCUGGGGAGUACGG
rnacentral:rRNA from 1 species